rnacentral:rRNA from 1 species
GGUGCGGCGGUCCGGUCGGCCCCUCACGGGGUCUGCACUCGGUUUCUCGCCGCUCCAUCCUCGGGGAGAGGCGGUCUGGCAUUAGUUUGUCGGGCCGCGGAUCCCCGUCGUUUACUGUGAAAAAAUUAGAGUGUUCAAAGCAGGCUUAGGCCGUUGGAUACAUUAGCAUGGAAUAAUGAGAUAGGGCCUCGGUGGUCUAUUUUGUUGGUUUGCACGCCGAGGUA